UACGUAGGGGGCAAGCGUUAUCCGGAUUUACUGGGUGUAAAGGGUGCGUAGGCGGCGCAGUUAGUCAGAAGUGAAAUAUCGGGGCUUAACCCCGGGGCUGCUUCUGAUACUGCUGUGCUCGAGUGCAGGAGAGGUAAGUGGAAUUCCUAGUGUAGCGGUGAAAUGCGUAGAUAUUAGGAGGAACACCAGUGGCGAAGGCGGCUUACUGGACGAUGACUGACGCUGAGGCUCGAAAGCGUGGGGAGCAAACAGG
rnacentral:rRNA from 1 species